ACUCUCCUCUUUCCGCCGCCUCCCGCGUCUCCCCCACUCCCUCAAGCGUCGCACCCCUCCUCCCCUCCCGCAUCUCGUCCACCCUGGGAUCCGAGCACAGAGUCGACCUUCCCCGGCGGCGGCACUCCAUUCAAUCUGCAAGAGAGAGAGAGACCGAGAGAGAGGAUGAAAGGGAGAAGAAGAAAAGAGAGGAGGGAGAAAGAGAGAGGAAAGAGGAGCGGGAGACGUCGCGUCGGAUGGGAGAGGGUCACCGCCGGCGUCCGCCUGCACCGGCGAGGUCGGGUCCUCGAGCCAUGGAGGCACUCUUCACUGGGCCCUCGCCAUUGGCCUCCCGUGCGUCGCAGCACCCCUCCCGCCGCCUCUGCUCUCUCCUCCCGCCUCGGCAGAUUGGAUCGAGGGUGCUAUGCCGCCGUCGCCGACUGGAUUUGCUCCUCCAUCGCUGCCGCGAGUCAACUCCACCGUUGUCGCCAGGAAUCCGUCCCGCCUGCUGCAGCCUGCUCGUCUUCCGGUUGCUGCAGUCGGCAUCGCGGCCCUGCAGAGGGCGUUGAAUAGGAUGCAGACGUGGCUUGAGAUCCUCCAUCUAACAAGCUCCCCGGGUAGUGGUGGAUCUUUAUAUUAGCACAUGACUGAGCAGUUCGACAACGUUUAUAAUUUAUCGUUGUCAAGUCAGCAUUUGCGUGAUUCAAAAAGAACACACAGACUGCUGCACGGUACUAUAUAAUUUAUCAGUUCAGUUUAACUAUUUUUUAGAAAAGAACAUUCUUACCAAGCCUGCACAUUUCAAGGUCGUGAGGCUUCAGUUUACUCUGUUUGCCUCACUAUAGGAGAACAUUCAGAGGGCUCAAGAAAGAGACAAGAACUUGUGCUUCAAGCAACGAAGAUAGACAGCCUAAAUGAAUCGAAACAAGAACAAGCAUCGGGAAAUUACAGAUGAGGAGGUGCAGCUGGCUGAUAUAGGUCUUGCAAUGUGCAUGUCAGGGACAGAAGUUGCUAAAGAAAGCUCCGACAUUAUAAUCUUAGAUGAUGACUUCACAUCUAUUGUGAAGGGUCAUUGGAAUGGACCAAGUUAUGAAUGUUCCUGAAAUGCGAUACUAGAAUCUUUGUACGUCAACACUCUUUGAUGCUAAUCUUGAUGAUUUUUCCUCUGUUCUACAUAAAUUUGUGUUGUUAACUCACUUUCAUGUUCUUGAUUGGCAUGUAAUCAUCUUAGAAACAGUUAUUUGAGCUGAGGGCGUCGAAUAGAGUAAUAAAAGCUGCUUCCUUGGAGAGUUUUUUGUGCACAGUGGUGCAUGCAUAAUAUUAUCCUCAUUAUGUUCUCUUUCCAUGUUCUAUUGUAGGAAGCGGAUGUUAUCAAGAUCGUGCCAAAGGCAGAGGGUGCCAAAGGCGAUGCUCAUUCCCGUUCUUAGUGAGAUGCGUUUACUGGAUGCAAAGUAUGAGCAUUGCAGACUCUAGCGAGCUGCUGAAGGUCGACGUGGAGGGCACCGCCACCACCGUCAUCAGGCUGGUCCACAUCCAUGCGCUGCUCGGCGUCACCAGGUCACCGGCACAACUCCUCACGCCCAGAUCAUUCAACAAUUUCUUCCGCUUUUGGUGCGUCACAUUUAGAGUCUUUCUUUCCCAUUUUACCGUGUUUGCAUGGUAAGAUGUUUGGUUGGAUUUGAAGGUUCGUAGACUUGGCUCCAAAGCUUCAAGCUCUUGUAGAAAUUAGAACUGAGGGCCUUUUAAAAUGAGUCCUGCAUAAUAGUGUUGUUCAGUGGGUUGCAGAAUUUUUGUUUGUACUGAUUUACAUACUGAUUUCAUCAUCAUAUGACUACAAUGAAGUUGUGUGUAUAAAUAUUACUAACUGAUGAUACUUUGCAUCAGUGAUUUCAA